rnacentral:lncRNA from 1 species
GGCGAGGCUGAAGGCCGGGCUGGGGCGGUGCCUGGCUGCAGGGUGGUGGAGGAGGUGAAGGAGGAGGAGGAGGAGGAGGAAGAGGCCAGGAUAUUCCUGAAUGAACGUCUCCCUCCCUCCUCACCCCACACCUCCGCCCGCUGCCCGCCUCCCGCCCGCCACUCGCCGGCCCCGCUGCGAGGCGCAGCCAGUUUCUAUAGCGACGGCGCCGAGCCGCCGCUCCUCCGAGUAGUAACAAAGCCGGCUGCCCGCGGCCGCGCCGACACGGAGGGGAAGCGGCUCCCGAGGCCCCCCGACCGCCCUCCGCAGCACCCCGGCAGGUUUGAUGACUACGUUAAGUGGAUUUGCUGGAGAUGUACGUAUGCUUGCUGUAGCCAGCAGCUAUUUCAGGACAAAAAGUGCACAGAGAACAUACCAAGGAUGAAUCAUCUGUUUUUAUUAUCAGUCAUUCAGGCAAUGUGGUGAUGGAUGGAUGAAUAGAUAGAGGCCAGAUCUGUGAGCCAGCUCGGCAUCUGGCAGUUUUUCCCCGUGUGGAGGAGAAUAGACAUUUCCUUGCAAGUGAACCUUUGCAAGAACUUCUUUUUCAUGGAAAGUAAGUCUCUAUGUAUUUAUUUCUCCCUCUGUACUUUUUUCAUUCUCCGGUUCCCUAAAUACAAAUAGCUUGCACUUAGAAGAAACACUUUGAAAACCUUUCAGAAUAUCACUUUGGGUAGCUCUAUGGAUGAUGAUAUCAUAUGCGAGUUAAUUAUUGACCUCAUGUUAAUUUGCCAAUAUUUCACAUAUAACCUAUGGUUACAUUAACAGAAAUGAAGUGUUAGAGAUAAAGGAUAAAAGGUUGGCUCGAUAAACUGGGCAAGGAUGAUCUUUCAUUAGAGAAGGGAAGCACGAAUUUCCCAUUUUCUUUGCCAGGCCAGCAUGACUGAGCUCUGAGAUUGAGAGCUUCAUCUACAACUAAUUGUUUCUGGCCCCUCAUCAGCACAUUUUGCCUACAGAAUGUUUGACAGGCAAGUGCAAAGAUCAGCCGUAACACACUGAACAGCCCAUUCACCUCACUCCACACCUGGAAUGAAAGCCUGCAGCCUGCUUCCAAGCCAU